rnacentral:lncRNA from 1 species
UUUUUUUUUUUUGGUGGGGUUGUGGUGCGGAAGACGGUGUACAAGGGGCGGAAGAAGAAAACCAUCGAGUACUUCGCCGUCAAGAGCGUCGACAAGUCGCAGCGCUCCAAGGUCCUCAAUGAGGUGAGCCAGCCCCUCUCUCCCAACGCCCGCGUCGACUUUGGGGGAUAUUCUGCAUCCAAGGUUGUGCGGCGUUUGCAUUGGUUUAGGAGGGGCUAGUUGGUCUGGCAACCUGUAUCCGCUUGCUAGUGCGUGUAUGUAUGUCGCGGUUCGCAUAAUUUAUUUGAUGGUACAUCUUCCGUGGCUUUGGGUUUAUGCUUGGUACAUGUCCGUAUCUGAUUAAUUGUUGUUUGCCCAAGCAUUCUGUUUUCUGGUUAGUGUUGGCUUGAGAAUGAUGCAGUAUGAAGGGGAAACUGCCCCAAUCUAGACUAAGAUAAUGAUAAUCUUUGAUGUGCUAACUGCUAAAUGCCGUGCUGUUUCUCUCCUGCCACAAAGCAUGACGAAUUCUUAUUUUUCAAGUGCUGGGAAAACAUCAACUUCCUAAUAAUUUUGCAUGGAGUUUAUUUCUCAUACCCAAUAUUCAAUUCCCAAUUAUAGAAGAGAUGUGCCCAUGAAGAUAAGUUACAACCUGCUCUCACUAAUGAAUGUUGCUCACUUACGAUUGGCAAAUGCUGUUCUUUUGUCAGGUUUGUACUUAGUUUUUGUUAUUGUCGCUUCCAAGGACCUGCUUAUCUUUUGGAUGUGCCUUUGUCUCUCUGAGCAACUGCCCAAGGGUAAUUCUUUUAAAUAAGGUAGAUAAAGUGUUACUAGAUAGAGAAUCAUUCUCAAGCUUGGUAAGCAUUCUUAGAUGUUCCAUCAUAAGUUGAUCAAUGCUUAUUCUCAUAAGUUGUUUAUUUAUGGUUUGUUCCUUUGUGCCAAUGAUGCUUUUGAACUUACCUUUGCAGGUCCGGAUGCUUCAUUCUUUGGAUCAUGCAAAUGUCCUGAAAUUUUACUCUUGGUAAGUUUUUAAGGACGUAUUGCUUUUGCCUGUGCCAGUUUUGCAGUAUAGCAAUGACAAGUACUUUGCUAGUCUUGUUGAGGUUAUCCUUAUUGUUCAGUUAACAUUUGACCAUUCUAGUGCAUACCAUAACUACGCCUUGCUUUUCUCCCUAGGUACGAAACUUCAGCACAUUUUUGGCUAGUAUUGGAAUAUUGUGUUGGUGGAGACCUCAAGGGCUUGCUCGAGCAGGUAUCUUGCUUACCCAAUUAAGCAUUGUAUCCAUUUCUCUAAAUUGAAGAAGGGAACACAAAGCAUCCAUUUGUGUACGUUUGCAACUGAUAUAUUCUACAGAUACCACAGAUACGUGAGAAAAAUUUGCACCUAAAAUUUAGGAGCUUGGAAUAUUUGAACUAGAAGUACAAGAGACAAAACUUACCGUUUUUAUCAGCUUUUAGGAAAAUUCCACAUGAAACUUUAUAUGACAGCUUGCUAAUUGUUCUUCCAAUAGGAAUAGAUGUUUCGCACAAUCUUCUUGUUGUUGCUAUCUAUAAUUGUGCACAUUGAAAGAAACUUCAAUCUGACAACUUGAAUUUGUGAAUGCUACUAAAACUAUUUUUUCUCGAGAAAACUAUUUGUCAUUUCAUUGAAGUAUGGUCAGCCCGAACCACCUGCUUUUACGAUCUUAGUUCUAGUUUUCUUCUAUAGCAUUUACGGGUUUUAUACUUUGUGUUCAUGCAUUGAAGUACGAAUGUUAGUCUUGCUUGUGCUCCACUUGGAAAAGGAUUAGGUAAUUAACUGCUUCAAGAUGGGAAACUGGAGUGCUGCUCUCCAUUUUCUCCACUUGGAAACACUCAAAGCACCCUGCAUAGUCUUUGACUCUAAGAAAUACUUGAUUUAUUUGCUAUCCUGAUAAUGCUGAUCUAUUAUUUUUAGUAGUGUAUUAUAUUGUUGCGGGGCAAAGUGUUUGCUAGCCUGUUUACCAGUACUUGCUUGUCAUCCUAGACAACACGUGUUGAUAAGGGUGAGCCACAUAAUUCUCUGUGGCGGUUGUUUGUGUUCCAGAGACCUGUUGUGUGAGUUGAUCUUUUAUUGUAUGUAACAUCAGUGAAGACAAAUGCUACCCCAUUUUUCUUCUGCUUGCUUGUCAUCCUAAACAACACGUGUUGAUAAGGGUGACCCAUAAUUCUCUGUGGUGCUUGUUUGUGUUCCAGAGACCUGUUGUGUGAGUAGAUUUGCAGAUCUUUUACUAUAUGUAACAUCAGUGAAGACAAAUGCUACCCAUUUUUAUGCUUGCGGUUGUCUUUAUGUAUUCUGUCUCAUGUCUCAUCCUAUGUAUUUUCAUGCAGGAUAAGAAGCUGCCUGAAAGUGCCAUGCACGCCCUGGCUUAUGAUCUAAGCCCUCCUGUAAAGUUUAUUUGGUAACCUCGUUUCAUUAUAUCUAUUGUGUUAUGCGUGGAUUUUGAUUGACUGAAAACAUGUUGGGUGUUAGGUUCUUGCAUUCACAAGGAAUUAUAUAUUGUGAUCUGAAGCCAUCUAACAUUCUACUUGAUGAGUUUGGAUGCAUGAAGGUAAUCAGUAGACCACUGUGUAAUAUGUAAAUACAGUGACAGCAAAAGAAUAGACAAUUGCUGGGAACUAACAGUAAUUUUCCCUUAUUGUUGUAGCUGUGUGAUUUUGGAUUAGCAAGACGUUUAAAGGACAUUGAGAAGACCGAUCCUGGAGAUGUGAGCUCCCAUUUCCUUUUCCUCAAGCAUUUGAUUUCGUUUGGUUUUAUCUUAUUUUAAUGAUUCCCCGGGUUUGAAUACCUUGUUUUUAGGUGCCACAACCUAUGAGGGGGACACCAUGUUACAUGGCUCCUGAGUUGUUCCAAGAGGGAGGGGUCCACUCAUAUGCUUCUGAUUUCUGGGCUCUUGGUUGUGUGCUUUACGAAUGCUAUGCAGGAAGACCUCCUUUCGUGGGCCGUGAAUUUACCCAGUUAGUCAAAUCCAUACUUUCAGAGCCUGCACCACCUUUACCUGAUAACACGUCAAGGUCUUUCCAGAAUCUGAUCAACUGCUUAGUCAUGAAAGACCCAGCUGAAAGACUACAGUUGUCUGAACUAUGUGCACACAACUUUUGGAGGAACAGUAUGCCGAUGAUUCCUUUACCUCCUCAGCCUGCCUUUGAUAACAUGGUUGGACUUCCCACUACGCCAUAUUUAGCUGGGCGAAAUGGGGAGAAACCCUCCAGACAGCUAACGCCACCCAAGACUCGUGAACACCUACGCAAGAAAGAUGAAAUUCUGCCAAGGUGUUCACGACUCCUGUUAAGAAUGUGCAAACCGGUUAGAAAAAUAAUCCAAAACCUUGUAAGGCUGAUGGUUUGAAGGGUGUAAAUGUCCUUAGAAUGUCUCGCAUAGCUAAGAGAAAUUUGCAAAGGGAAAAGGCCAAGGAGAACUACAGGCGCCCUCCCACAGAAACAGACGAAAAUGAGGCUGAAGUUAAGAUCGAAAAUAAUGACAUGGAGCUUGAUUUUGGUGAAAAUCCAGAAGGCGAUGCACCUGAUGAUAAUGAUGGAUCAGAUAAUGCUGGAUCCAAAGCAGAUGAAAAACAUAGGACUCAAGGAACUGAUGGAGAUGAAGAGAACUGCAUAAAUCAGGCGGACAUGCUCAUGGAUGAGUGUUCUGUUAAGCCGGAUACCUUGUUGAAAGCUGAGCAGAACUGUUCAGAGAAUCUUGAUGUGGUGGCUACUCCACCUAGUUUCUGUAUGAGGAAAGCACGUCCAAAGAUAACUUCUGGUGCUGCAACGGGUUCUGAGCCGUCUAACAUCUUUGAAGCAUUCUGGCAUCCAACAGACCUUGCAGUUAAACCAGUCAUGCCCAGUAAAAAAGGAGAUAAAGCUACAGAGACCAUCUCCGUGCUUCCUUUUGAAGCUCUUCCUGCCGCUGAUUACAUCAAGUUACCACGAGAACAGGUGAAUGCAUUCAAUAGCCAGAUAAUUCAGAGUUUGAAUGGAUCUUUUCAGGUUUCAGAGAAACAGAAUAUCAUCAGAUAUCUGGAGUUGUUAAGCAUGAACUCUGAUGCUGCAAAUAUAAUCACUAAUGGCCCAGUUAUGUCGUUGCUCAUAAAAAUGCUCCGACUAUCAAAAACUUCAGUCUUGCGUGUGCAGGUUGCUUCACUUAUGGGACUGCUGAUACGCUACUCCACUAUCCUUGAUGCAGAGCUAGCUAGUUCAGGAAUUAUUAAUGCCUUGUCAGAUGGCUUAAGGGACCGGCACGAUAAACUGAGGAGAUUCUGUAUGGCAACACUUGGAGAAUUACUGUUCUACAUAUCAACUCAAUCUGAUCAGGAUAGCAAGGAAAGCAAUGCCGAAGAAUCUCCUAUGAAGGACAACAAAUCUGGUGCUUUGUGGCAGGUUAGAAACUCCAAAUGAAAAAUAUGCUAGCUCUAAAUGUUUUUUGCAUGCCAGUGGUUGAUUUACAUGGACUUACCUUGUAUUACCCUAUACCGCAUCACGUUCUGAAAAGAUAAGCUGUGGUGGCAAGUUAAUGGGAAUUAGAUUCCAACAUCUCUAAUGGUUGGUACUGAUUCUUCUAUGGCAGCAUAUUCUCUGUGCCCACCGUAGUACUGAAGUAGAAAUUCAUUAGGAGUUGAAAGUAUAAUAACUGAAAGAACUAAAUGCACACAUAUGCAUAUAUAGAUGGUAGAUACCGACUUCACGUUCCAAUACAUGCUCCAUUCUUUAUUCAUGUGUCUAGACGCAAGUUUAUUUUUAAUGUGUGUGUUGAGCUUUUGCAGUUAUUAUAAGUACAUAAAAGGAUAUGUAUUGGAACAUGAGGAUGUUUAUAUCAAUAUCUUAGCUGUAUGUGGUCAUGUAGACUAGAUAUACAUAUGAGUGGUUCAUUUCCUUUGAUUAAUUGAUUUGCAGCUACAAGUUCAAACUACUGUCUUCCCAUGAUUUAACUUGGCAAACUGUGCAGGUCCCUAGUGCUGUAAUAGCACCGGUGUCGUCUAUCUUGCGUAAAGGGGAAGAUGAUCUGGCCCAGCUUUAUGCCUUACGAACAGUUGAUAAUAUAUGUAGCCAAGGGACAGAUUGGACAUCACGGUUUGCUUCCCAAGAUGCAAUUGGUCAUCUUUGCUACAUCUAUAAAGCAACUGGGAAGCAGGAGAAUACAAGGCUUAUUGCAAUUUCUUGUUUGAGCCGCCUAGCUCGAUUCAGUUCGUCAUGUACUCAUCUAACACUGGAGAAGCUAUCGUUCAAGGAUAUUGUAUGCACACUCUUUAAGGGCAAUCCACGUGAGCAACAGAUAAGUCUGAAUCUUCUAAAUUCGGCAUUAGUGAACAGUCAUACCAUACCAAAUAUGAACCGCUAUAUUCAGUCAUUAACCGAGGAGAAACAGUUGGUCCCUGGACUUAUUUCUCUGAUAGAACAGGGAUCUGACAUUCUGCGUGGAAAAACUCUUCUAUUUGUUGCUCUUCUUUGCAAGAACAGUCGAAGGUGGCUUCCACAAUUCUUUUGCAAUGCAAAGCUGCUAUCAGCAGUCGAUAGAUUGGGAAAGGAGAAGGAUGGUUUCAUUCAUCAAUGUACCGUAGCAUUUGUUCAGUUAGUUGCUUUGUUGGUCCCAGGCAUUCUUGACACUGUAUCCAGUGAUAUACAACAGGUCAUGGGUGGCAAACGUCAUGGACCUAUUACUGCUUUAACGGGACGUGCUCAUCCAAAGAGCACAAUUCAUUUGUUUCCUGUUAUCCUUCAUCUUCUUGGGAGUGUAUCCUUCAAUCACAGAGUUGUGACAAGUCAAGUAUUGCUCCAGUUGGCUAAUCUUACGAAGAUAUUGGAGACACCAUUUCAGGUAUGGCCUAUAACUAUCUGGACCCAACCUUCUUAGAACUGCUAGUCUCAAACCAGGAUUCACUCACUGCUUUCUCACACACAUGCACACAAGGAACUAGUAUGAAGCUCUGUAGGUUUAUAUCAACAGCACAAGCUUACUUUUACAAACAGGGGUGCAUGUCCUUUUAUAGGACUAACCAAACCGACUAUGCUACCAAUACUUGAUAGCUAAGCUAGGACAGCUCAGUGCAAACUUUUACUGCAGUCUAGGACAUACUGGUAUCUGUCUACAGCUCAAAGUCAAAUCUGAUUUUACUUUUUACUGCUGAUAACUAUAUCCUAUAUCUGAAGGGUGUAGCUACUGCUCAUUGCUGACAUAUGCAUAGCUAGCUAGUUUUGCAUGCCAUGAUACAACUUCCACAUAACUGACCAUGACAAGAUUAAUACUAACAAACCUGAUGCGAAAAUAUGGAGAUCAUUCAUUACAUAUUUACACUGCAAUGUCUAAAAUAAGCUCAUCCUAGUGUUGAUGCUGUCUUGCCUUCAGUCUUCGCAUUACGCCAUGUGUUCACUAAACUCUUGUCUUUUGUGGUCAUUUGUGUACACUUUAUUGUACUUCCAGGCUCGGGAUGAUUUCCAAAUGAUAUUGCUGCGAGUUCUAGAGGCAGCUAUGGAGGAGUCUUCUGUUAUACUUAUGGAACACAAAAUAUUCACAAGUCGAUUCCUUCUGAGCUUAUUCAUCUUAUACAAGGGCAAUAAGGACUGUGAUGCCAGAUUCCUAUGUUUGAAGAUACUGUCUGAUGUGAUGAUUGUGAUCUUCAGUGAUUCUUCAUUGACUCCAGACGAACAAACGUUAGCUGACCUGAAAACAAUCUCUCACAAAUAUUUUCUCCCGCUGUACCCUUCAUUUGCAGAGGAUGAAGAUCCAAUACCUAUGUAUGCACAAAAACUUCUAGUAAUGCUGGUGGAGCAUGAUUGUGUUAAGGUAUCUGAUAUCCUGAAUGAAGCAACAGUAUCCCAGUGUUUCGAUUUUUUGCUUGGAGAUCUUUCAAAUGCAAACGUAAGCAAUGUGAAGCUUUGUUUUGCACUAGCAUCUGCUCCUGACAUGGACUCCAGUUUCCUUUCACAGCUUCAAGUUGUCAGAAGAAUAGGGACUCUGGUUGAGUUUGUGACUGCCAAAGAUAUGGAUGGUUUUCUGGAACCAACCUUGGAACUUUGCAGAGCUUUCAUUAUCUGUGGCAUCGGCAGCAGCAGAAGUACCGCCCUUACCAAAGAACAUGCACUCCUUGUUGACAGCGCCUUCAACAUGAGCAUUGCUGUUGAUCAACAAUCUUGCAUCAUGGAUAUAUGCGACCUCGGUGGCAGUAUGGGUAUAUUUCUUGAGGUGGUUGGAAAUUCAGAUCCACACAUAAGCGAUUUGGCGUCAGAUUGCGUGGUGUUGCUGCUCAAGGCAGCACCUCGAGAGGCCACGAUGGGCUUGCUGACAAAUCUUCCUAAACUGAGCGCUCUUUUGGACUCGUUGAAGCAUGGUGUCUCCCUCCAGCUGACUCGUCUGCUAUACAGCCUAGCAUUCUCUUGCAGGCAGUAUCUAGCCCAAGGAAUGAUACUCUCAAUAUCGGUGCCAGCUCUGAUGCGAGUAGAAGCGCUUGUCUCGGCUUUCAAGGGCUCACAUGACAGCUGCCUUGCUGAUGCUGCUUCGUAUCUGGGUGCCGAACUGCAGCGCCUACCUUGCUGUGGUUGAGCAGAAAUGUGGUCAAGGAGCCAGUCAGCUUGCUGCUACUGCACACAGGUGAUCUCAAUAGGAGGGUCUUGGCUUGGUAUUUCUGGCGCCAAGUGUAUGAGCAGGGCCAUUGCCUCAUCAUGAGAGGCACGGAGCUGACCUCAGUUGCUACCGUCUGGCAUGGGAGUGCUGGGUUUCAAAAGUGAUGUUCUGAGCUCGUUAUCUACCUCGUCCUUCCACUCCGAGAUUCUCAACUGGUACCUGGCAGCAUACAAGCCCAGGUAAUUGUUUUGUAUUGUGCUGCUUAUUCUGCACCCAUGGCCCACAUCUGUGCAGAAUUCAAUCCAACGCCGUUUGUCUGAGUUAGCCUGGCUCAGACGGUCGCACACGAUGUGAGCCGUCCCGUGCAAGAUUUUGUCCCGACGGCAGCGCUUCCUGGACCCAACGGAAUUUUUAACUGACAGAAGAAGAUUGCAGUCUGAAACACAUGUCAUGCCAGUGCCUGAGUUCUCACCUCCGCUAAAGCACUGUGAUCAGUGGACCUUGCACCCGCUCCUGAGAUUGCAGAGGAGGCACUGGAGGGAGAAGUGAGAUGAGCCAUCUAUUGAUUUCUCUUGGAGAUGUACAGCUUCAGCUGGGUGGAUGACUGAACCAGACUGUACCUUCAGUUCUCCCCAGCCUCUCACUGUCUAUGUAUAGACGGUGCGCAAGCCUCCUGCCCAGGGAGUUCAUAUUUCAGAUUUAUGCAAAACCCAUCCACAGAUAAGCAGAGUACUGAUGACACCUGUAGGCAAGCUAGAAUUCAAUGCAAACACCAUUAAGUUUGGAGAGUAGUACACCAAGCAAUCUGUCUCAUAUAUUCCAUGCUACAACAAUAUCUGAUCUUGUAGUACCAGCUCCUGAAAUUGUGCUCAUUACAAAGUUGCAGCUCAUCCAAACAACAGCUUCCAACCUGACCACCGAUCAACCGUUACAAAUAGAAUACAUGAGGUAGGAGUACAUAUUAAGCACAACAACACUGAUAAGCAAAUAUCCAGAAAAUGUUUUCUGAAACCACUACAUCGUUUCAUCAAAUGUUCGAGUCUUGCAUGCUAGCUCAACACACAUCUGGGUGUCUCAGUUCUGGACCUUUGGCGCAGUUGUUUCGCGGGUAACCCUCGACCCCACAGUUCUUGCAGGCGCCUUCUCCCUACUUGUCGUGGGUCGCCCAAUCUCUUCACUCUUUGCUCUGGUGCCAGUAAUCUAGCUAACCCAUCUCUUCACUAGGACAGGUUCUAGAAAACUUCCUUGUAUAUUAAUUGUGUUGCUGAACCUCCUUGUUCCCAUAUGUAUUGCAUACUAUGGGUCGUCGAUGAACAAUUUUCUCUCCAUUAUUAUUUUCAGAAUAAUGCUGAUGGAGCGCAACUGGGUUUAAAAUUCUCUGUUUUCUUAUAUAUCUAGCAUUUGACUCUUCAAGCUACAAGCAAAAACUAUUACUAUCCCUGGAAGUACUUAUGCCUAGUCAGUUGUAUUCAAUUAUUCAUGCAUAUUAUGAUUUGCGCGAUGAAUAUGUACACGGUAACUAUUGCAAUAUACAUCUUGGUGUCUUACUUCCUCAUGCCAUCUUUCUAGUGAAGGAGGAGCGUUUCCAGAAUCGCACCGCAAUAGAAAUUCAAAUAGCCGGAAAAAAAAAUCAGUAACCUGGGAAAUGGUAAUUCUGUAUUAUUAAGCCGCAAUAAAACUGCAUUUUCUCUCUAAAGAGAGUCUUUUCAUCUCAAAAAGAGGAAAUUAAGUCUUCUUCUUUUUACAAUCUGACAUAGGCACGGACUCACUGUGAAUCAAACAGAAAAGGAGUUCAUCUGCCUAGUACACCCAUUAUCCAUCCGUCCCCAACACGAGCAUAACAAAUUGCUAUUAUGUACUCAUUACUAUUAUUUCUUUAUUUAUGGUUGGGUUUUGGAAGAGGACCAGGUGCUCGGAUCUUUGCGGUAAUGCCUUGAAGGUGGAGGAGAUGGCACCGAAGGGCUUGCAGUUGGAGGGAAGAAUGGCAAUGGCGGGAAAGGCCAAGGAAAGGAAGGCGGCGGAGGUGGUGGCGGGGGUGGCGGAGGAGGCGGUGGCGAAUACAACGACGGCAGAGGCGGAAAAUGCGGAAAAGGAGGUAGCUGUGGAAACGGCGGCAAAGGGAACGGGAAUGCAGGCGGCGGCGGCGGGGGCGGCGGCGGAGAUGGCGUCGAGAAAAUCGGUGGCAGAUGAGGGAACUGGAACGAUGGCGGCGGCGGCGACGCCGGUGGCGUCCACGGCCAGGGCGGUAAAGGGAAAGGGAAAGCCGGUGGUGGAGGUGACGGUGGCGUGAAGAACGGGAAUGGCGGGAAUGGGAACGGGAAUGCCGGCGGCGGGGGAGUGAAGAAGGGUAUGGGCGGGAACCAGGGGCGGGGCGUGCAGAACGGGAUGGGCGGCCACGGCCAGUGCGGGCAGUAGAAGAGCGACGUGUUGAGCGCGGCGGCCGCCGGCGUCGACGCCCCCGCGCCGUCGCACUGGCCCGCCUUGUUGCCCGGGCGGUAGUAGAGGGAGUUGAGGUUGUAGAGGCACGCGUCGGGGUCCCGGGCCGAGAAGGAGAUGUGGCCGGCGGUGGUGGUCACGGCAGGCACGUCGCAGAGCGGCGAGGGGUUGUCCAGCACGGCGGCCCGGCAGAAGGACGCGGCCUCGCCGCCGGUGGUGCAGCCGAGGCCGGCGAUCGCCGGGAUGUCGAGCCGGUAGGCGCCGUGGCUGUCGGUGGUCUUCUCGGCCGUGAUCUUGAUCUCCUCCUUGGAAGCCGUGCUCGCCCUGAUCGCGCAGUCGAUUCUGACCUUCACAUCUGACGAACGAACAAAUGGGAGAUCGCUUCAGAACACGGGAGGAAUUCGAUGAAUUGCAUGGCAAGAAGAAUGCAUGCAAGAGUGGAACCUGGCAGGAAGUAGCUGUGGUUGGAGAAGGAGCUGGAGGAGCAGGCGUCGCAGAACACGGUGCCGGUCACCGUGAGGCUGGCUCCACGAGACCCCUGGCACUGGCCGGGAAGAAGAAGCAGAGCGGCGACCAGUAGCGCCUCCAACGCAAGGAACAGCACUGGCUUCUUCUUCUUCAUGGUGUCUUAGAGGAGCUAGCUAGCUGCGAGCUGAGAAGAAGCUACUGCUAGCUGAUAAACCUUGGCUCCGGCGAGCUUUAUAUCCGGCCGGCCGGGUGGCCAAAGCCUUAGCUAGCGGUGGGUGGGAGAUGAUGAUCCAUCAAAUCAAAGCUUGUUGUUUAUGCGGACAACUCGCUCGAGACGAGCAGCAGAAAGGGACGGGGAGGACCGAGGAUCACAAGGAACAAGCGCAUGUGAAGGGCAUUUGGACCCUUUUGUGUGAGGCCGCGCCGUGCCGCCAUUCAACAAACGGCAGGGCAUUUCACGGGUUCAGUUCAACCCGUGACUCAAAAUGCUUCCUCCCUCUCUUGUGCUCCGAAUUGAUUCUGGAAGGAUCACGGCUUGGAAUGUGCUAUGUCCAGUGCCACAAGCCCACCACCCACCGCGUGGCAACAGUUGGAAAGGAACCCAACCCGAGGAGGCAAUGUAUGGAUACACAUUUCUUUUAAGGGAUCCCAUGCUUUAUUAAUUUGAAAAUAUAUUCAAAGGGAUAAAGGGGGUCAUGAGGGGAAAUAAGCCACAAGCGGCAACCCUGCGGAAGCGAGGCAAUUUUUUUACAAGAUUGUGAGCCUUCUGAUUCGGAGCACGACAUUCGAACAUAAAAUCACAACUAGUAAAAUGUGAUAUUCUAUUAUUUAUCUUCUUGACGACUGUGAUAUGAGAGCCUCCUACCCCUUUUAUGAUGUCAUCCACAAUCGGAUUGCAGUCACUAGCGAUUACCAAAUGAUCCAAAGAUAGAUCAGCUGCAAGUGCUAAAGCCUCGUGGCAAACAAUGGUCUCUAAAACUGUAGGGUUCAUAACACCGGGUAGAACAAUUUGCCGAUGACCCGAGGUACUGACCAUGUUCAUCCCUGCAUACUGCUACCGCAGCUCCAACACGCCCAUCAUAGGACAAACCCCCCAUCUACAUGGAUACACAUGCCUUAGUGUAUUUUCUGUAUGCACAUCAUUUAUUUAUGUAUAAUCUGCACCAGUGGAGCCCGCUCACAAAUUUCAAUUUCAGUUAUCUCUAUAACUUCACAAAUCUUUAUUUCAAACUGGUAGCUAUUUCAAUUAUUUCAAAACGGUGAUUCAAUUAUUUUAACACACUAUUGCGUUCUCUUCAAAAAGUGAUUCAUUCAAUCUCGGAAAAAACAAUUCAUUAUUUCAAAAAUACGGCUUCAAUUAUUAUAUUGUCUUAAAACACAUUGAGUUCACUUAUUUCAUUGUUACAAUAAACUAUUCCAUUUUUUUCAACAAAGUGAUUCCAUCUUAUUUCAAGAUAGUGCGAAGCAUUUAUUUGGUUUCUAAAAUAAAAACGUGUUCUACUUUUUUGAAAACGUCUCUCAUUUAUUUCAAAAUAGUGAUUACAAAUAUUUUAAAUAAGUGAUAUAAUAAAUUUCAUCAUUGCAAGAAAGUAAUUUCAGUUAUUUAAAAAACAGUGGUUUCAAUUACUUCUUUUUCAAAACCCAACUAUUUCAAAUAAAAAAGGUGAUUUCAUUUAUUUCAAACAAGUGAUAUAAAAAAAUCCGUUAAUUAAAAUAAAAUCUCUCAGUUAUUAGAAAAAGUCAACUAAUUCAAGAAACAUACAUCUGAGUGAUUUCAGAACUAUUUCUAAUAAAAUUCUCUGCAUGGACUUCGCUCACAAAUUCUAUGUAUUAUUUCAGCAACUUCACAACUCUACAUUUCAAACUAGUGAUUUCAACUAUUUUCAAAACAAUGGUUUUAAUUAUAUGGAAACAAAUAUUUCAAGAGCUAUUCCAUUUUUUCAAAAGAGUGAGUCAUUAUUUUCUAAAAGUUGGUUUCAAUUAAUUCAUUAUUUUUAAAAACAUUGAUUUCAAUUAUUUCCAAAAGGUGAUCUCAAUUAUUUCAAAACAGUGGGUUCAAUUAUUUCAGUAUUUUUAAAAUAAUGCGAUUUUAAUUACUUCAAAAAACUGUUUCAUCUUACUUUUCAAAUAAGUGAUUUUGUGUAUUUAAAAAAUAGUGUGAUUUCAAUUAUUUUGUUUGAUUUUAUUUAUUUUUAUUAGACUAGCAUAUGUACUUACCAUUAAAUCAUCGUACUUCUACAAUAUUUACACUAAGAUGCCCCUCAUAUAUUUAAACAACACAAGCACUCUGUUGUUCUCGAUUACAUGCUAGACUCCAUUGUUGUAGUGGUUACUGAUUUGUUUUGCCAGUGGAGGUGUAACUAAAUAAAACCGUUAGCCAAAUUUUGAUAGGACAUGCAGAGGCCGGGGGUCAUCCUCCUUUUUUAAAAAAAUAAUUUUUUUUGGAUAGGACGGUUUGUAUCCCCAUUUUCACCGCAAUUCAUAUUUAGAUUGAAUCAAAAUUUCAUAACUUUGGUUCGGUUCAUGUUUUGAAACAUAGCAAAACCAUACUUUUGAGUUUUGCAAAUUUAUAAAAUGCACGUCAUAUUGGUAUUAUGUAGAAAAGGGUGCCUAUAAUUUGUGGUAAACUAUAUGGUCAUUUGAAAUUUGUGAAAAAUCUGGUUUUCUGAACAAUAAAUAGCAAGUAUAGUUUCCUGUCAAUUCUAAAUAACCAUUUCACGCAGCAAGUUCACACCACAACUCCUUCAUUUUAUUCUCAGUAGCAGUAAGCAUCAACAAACACAGAACGGGUAAGCAACCGUCUAUGAAGAAUCACCUAUUCUACCUGUAGCUAUGGAUGUGGUCUAAUCCAUGUUAUUCCUGCAUCAUCUAACUGAAGUUCAGGCCCACUUUUUUUUCUUUCGAGAAUGAAGUUCAGGCCCAAUUGCUCAG